GAUGAACGCUGGCGGCGUGCCUAAUACAUGCAAGUCGGGCGAACGGACGAGAAGCUUGCUUUUCUGAUGUUAGCGGCGGACGGGUGAGUAACACGUGGAUAACCUACCUAUAAGACUGGGAUAACUUCGGGAAACCGGAGCUAAUACCGGAUAAUAUUUUGAACCGCAUGGUUCAAAAGUGAAAGACGGUCUUGCUGUCACUUAUAGAUGGAUCCGCGCUGCAUUGGCUAGUUGGUAAGGUAACGGCUUACCAAGGCAACGAUGCAUAGCCGACCUGAGAGGGUGAUCGGCCACACUGGAACUGAGACACGGUCCAGACUCCUACGGGAGGCAGCAGUAGGGAAUCUUCCGCAAUGGGCGAAAGCCUGACGGAGCAACGCCGCGUGAGUGAUGAAGGUCUUCGGAUCGUAAAACUCUGUUAUUAGGGAAGAACAUAUGUGUAAGUAACUGUGCACAUCUUGACGGUACCUAAUCAGAAAGCCACGGCUAACUACGUG
rnacentral:rRNA from 1 species